CGAGCACGCGCGUGUGGCAUAUCAAUAAGCGGAGGAAAAGAAACUAACAAGGAUUCCCUUAGUAACGGCGAGUGUAGCGGGAAGAGCUCAAAUUUGAAAUCUUCAAGGUUCUACCUUGACGAAUUGUAGUUUAUAGAAGUGUUUUCUGUUAGUGGAGUGGCAAAAGUUCUUUGGAAUAGGACAUCAUAGAGGGUGAGAAUCCCGUAUUUGGUCAUUCCUCCUAGCGUUGUGAUACACUUUCAACGAGUCGGAUUGUUUGGGAAUGCAGUCCAAAAUGGGUGGUAAAUUCCAUCUAAAGCUAAAUAUUGGCGAGAGACCGAUAGCGAACAAGUACCGUGAGGGAAAGAUGAAAAGAACUUUGAAAAGAGAGUUAAACAGUACGUGAAAUUGUCAAAAGGGAAGCGUUUGACACCAGUGUUGUUUUUCCGAAAAUCAAUUACGAAUGUUUUGUUUUUGAGGAGUUAUGACUUCAUCGGCUUGCUCCUUUCUUUAUGAAACUUUCUUAAUGCACUUUUCGGUUAACAAGUCAACAUCAAUUUCUUUUGUUGUAAAAGGGUAUGAGGAAGGUGGCUUUCUUUUCGGAGAAAGUGUUUAUAGCCUUGUACCUCUGCAAUCGGAGAGAUUGAGGUCUGCAGCGUAGAUCCUUCGGGGUUAAAUACGUUUGUGCUAAGUUAUAGCUUUUCAUAGACAACUUGUUGACUAUGUUUAGUCUUGUAGCUUACUCGCUGAUGCUAUUUUACCUACGCUUAGGAUGUUGAUGUGAUACUGCGAGCA
rnacentral:rRNA from 1 species